AAGAACAUUACGUAAAAUUAAGGAAAUCUGAAUAAAAACCACCCAUGGCCCACUCCAUGCCCUCAUCUUGUGCCCGUGAAAACUGCAGGCUCAGCCAGCAAAGGCAGGAGAAGCAGCUGGACAUCAGAGAGAAGUGCCUUACUUCAGAGGGACAGCUCGACGGUGUAAAUUUCAAGAAGAAUCCCAGGAGACAGCUGGACUUUGAGGGAAGAUUACCUUCCUUCUCUGUCUGCUUUUCAGCUCCUCUUCCCUCUGAGAGCCACGUCCAACAGCAAUAAAAUCCCCCACAUUUACCAUCCUCCAAUUCGUUUGUGCUACUUCAUUUCUC
rnacentral:lncRNA from 10 species